AAAGCCUUAAGUUAAAGAAACUAUCAUCCUUCAAAGUUGGAAAUAAAUAUAUUUUUAGGCUUUA
rnacentral:tRNA from 1 species